rnacentral:rRNA from 1 species
UACGGAGGGUGCAAGCGUUAUCCGGAAUCAUUGGGUUUAAAGGGUCCGUAGGCGGAUUAAUAAGUCAGGGGUGAAAUCCAACAGCUUAACUGUUGAACUGCCUUUGAUACUGUUAGUCUUGAGUUAUAUGGAAGUAGAUAGAAUGUGUAGUGUAGCGGUGAAAUGCUUAGAGAUUACACAGAAUACCGAUUGCGAAGGCAGUCUACUACGUAUAUACUGACGCUAAUGGACGAAAGCGUGGGGAGCGAACAGG